CAUUAUAAUUGUCCCUGCUUUUCUGAGUUUGUGGAAAGUUAAAUCAGAGUCUUCAGACGAACAAAUGCUGGAGCACAAACAGAAAGUAAUGAGAGUCAGCAACUGUGCACAGAAAUGACUCUGUCUGUGCUUUUGUGUGUAUUUGUGUCUUCAGAUGGAAAAUAAGUGCCUCAAAGUAAGAGAGAUGGAAAGUUCAUUUCACAUUUUGACAUUUUCACAUGACAGAAUAUAUGUGUUUAUGUAGUUCAUGUUUAAUGACAAAACCCCCUAAAAUUAAUAAGGUCAUUUAAUAUCGUGUAUCAUUUUGGCCAGACAUAUUGAUAUCCAUUUGGAAGAACCCUGGAUCAAAUUAUACAACACAGAAACAGCCAUGUAAGGGCAGGCUUUAGAAAACAAAAGUGACUCCAGUUUUAAGUAUUUUUAAAGCUGGAGAGUGAAAAGUUGAAAGAAAUCCAAAAGAAAUUUGAACUCAAAAAAUAUUAAAUUUUUUAAAUGUGAAUACAUCCUUUAUGGGUCUUCGAAGGAACUAGUGAAAAUGGCUUACCUAACUUUGAGAUUCUUGUUGCUGUACUUCAUUCUAAAAGGUGGGUUAACAAUCUUAUAUUAAACAUUUUUGUUUUAUAUACACUAUACAGAUUAAAUGCUCACUUAUUGCUUUAUUUGAACAAAAUUUACCUUCUCUGCACUCUUUUGUCCUAUAUAUUUAUCUGUACUCAUUCUGUCAUUUUAACCAAUUACUUUUUGACUGAAAUCUCACUGAUUAUGUGGGCUUAUCUAUUCCCCAUUACCCACAGUGACUGCCAUAAAGCUCUGGUCUCCUCCCGGAUGGAUGAUUAAAAUGCCAUGUCAAUAUGAAUAUGAGGCUCAAGGAAGUAUCCAGCAGUUGUCCCUACAGUGGAGAAGCCCCAGGAACCAGCUCCUCUGUCACCUGAUCAAGCACAAAACGUACAGCAACUGCACAGCUGGAUAUUCAGUGCACUACAACCCAGGGAAUAUUACUCUCAUCAUCGCUGAGGUGAGGCAGGAGGACUUUGGGAGGCAUGUGUGUUCUGUGAGCAAGCUUCAUGAAUUCUCAGACUUCAGCAUUGAAUUAUACCAGAAGGAAGAUCUCUCUGCUGAAUUACCAAAAGGCAAGGUAGAUCAGUCAGGUACAGUAUGUAAUUGUAUUCACUUAAUUGAGAAUUUCAAUUCAAAGAGCAUUAAUGAAAUUUCAUGGGUAGUUUUUGAGAUGAUAUUAGUUUAUUCAUUGAGUACCUAACUCUUACCCACAGGUUCUGCAAAGGAUCAUUUCUUCCUUCUUGGGUGCAGUCUUUUUGUAUCCAUGUUUGGGUAAUAGGACAAGAAUAAUGUUCAUCAUUACAAUAAUGAUCACCAGACUAAUGUUUCAUAUUAGAUGCCAUAUAUUCUGAGAUAGCAAUUACCUGGGAUUUAUACAGUCCAAAAAUAAGAAGUCAAUGUUUUAUUAUUGUUAUUUUUUUCAUAACAGUACCACUGGAUGGCAGUAUACUCAUAAAUAUCACUGAAACACAUUUUUUAAGCUACAAGGCCUAAAGUAGCCUACUUUAUAUAUAAAAUAAUAUAUAUAUAUAUAUAUAUAUAUAUAUAUAUAUAUAUAUAUAUAUAUAAAACAACAUAACACAAACACUACAAAAUGCAUUGCAUCAUUCAAAAUAAUGGAAAAAAAACACCUGUGGAAAAUCAAUAUGGAAAAUUCUAUCACAUCAGCAUGGUACAUUGGGCCCUAUUUUAUAGACUUUUCUUGGAAUGUCAUUUAUUUAUUUUAAAAUUAGAAUGGGUAUAAGAUUUAAGUUCUUUCGGACCUAUCAACCAAGUUGCUUUGUGCAUCAUUGUUGUCACUCAUUCAGAAUGCACAGUGUGUUUAUGCAUGUGCAUGUUUAAAUGUGUUAAUAGUGGGGGUGUGUAAUGCCAAAUCAGCAUGUCAAUUAAAUGACAAAAUAAAUACAACAAAACAAAGGUUUUAAAAUACAGAGUGACAUGUUGUGUACCAAGUUAUUUGCCUUUUUGAUGUUUGAUUGAUGCUUCUUUAAUCAGAAUUAAUCUAGGAUGUGAUGAAGUGACACUUCCAGAAUGAACACUGAGCAGCGCUCAUCUUUACAGACACAUUGGCUAGUAUCCAUUAUAGGGAUCUGUGACAUGAGCUUGCAUAAAAGAUUUUCACACAUGUAUGUGUGCCUGAAGGAUUCUGGACUGACAUGUCUGCCUCCUUUUCAAAGACAGUUCAGCCUUAGAGCAUUUAAUGUUCAACUUGCUAUUUUAGUCAAAGUCAUACAACAUAAUAAGGACACUGAUAGCUGGACACAAUGACAGUUGUGUAUAUGUUUAUAUAUUAAGAUGCUGUAACAAUAAAUCAAGUUCUCAUUGUUAUAAUUUAAUUAUGGCUAAUGUAAAUAUAGUAAAUUCUUAGUUAAUAAGUAUUUUGAAUUGUAUAUUAUAUAUUUAAAAAUGUAUAAAGGAGCAAAUGUGCUUGUAUAACAAGAAUGAAGAAGAAGAAAAAAGAUGCACCAGUAGUUGUACAUGUUUAACUGGAAUUAAGCAUGCCAUUUGAGAUACAGUGCUCUAAAGUUAGCUUUUAUUUUAAACUGUCAGCACAGGAUAAUACAUUAGGCUAUGACCUACAAAUUAAGGGUAUGUUUUUUUUAAAACUGUGGUGGUGCCAUGUUACACUGAUGGAAUCAGAUGAUGCCAUACUUUAACAGGCUUACUACUGUGUGGUACUUAAUCUUU
ensembl:lncRNA